AGUGAACGCUGGCGGUAGGCCUAACACAUGCAAGUCGAACGGCAGCACAGUAAGAGCUUGCUCUUACGGGUGGCGAGUGGCGGACGGGUGAGGAAUACAUCGGAAUCUACUUUUUCGUGGGGGAUAACGUAGGGAAACUUACGCUAAUACCGCAUACGACCUACGUGUGAAAGCAGGGGAUCUUCGGACCUUGCGCGAUUGAAUGAGCCGAUGUCGGAUUAGCUAGUUGGCGGGGUAAAGGCCCACCAAGGCGACGAUCCGUAGCUGGUCUGAGAGGAUGGUCAGCCACACUGGAACUGAGACACGGUCCAGACUCCUACGGGAGGCAGCAGUGGGGAAUAUUGGACAAUGGGCGCAAGCCUGAUCCAGCCAUACCGCGUGGGUGAAGAAGGCCUUCGGGUUGUAAAGCCCUUUUGUUGGGAAAGAAAAGCAGCAGGUUAAUACCCCGCUGUUCUGACGGUACCCAAAGAAUAAGCACCGGCUAACUUCGUG
rnacentral:rRNA from 1 species